rnacentral:lncRNA from 1 species
UGAUGCUGCAUCGUUCCCAGGCAGAAAAGGGAAAAAAAGAGAGGGAGAAAGAGAGAAAUAUCGCCUGCUUGGGAAAUCACAGGCUGCUCCCUGCAGUAAGCAAACCUCUCUGACCCCGUGCCGCACUACUGGGAACGUAUCACACCACGCUGGCAGAACAGAGGCUGGCACUGUCCUAAAACUGGAAUUUAAAAGUGCACAGAUACUGAAAUCUCUCAGUGUCCUUUAGUAGAGUCAUGGUCUGCCCUACCCUUGGGAGAGAGCAAGCAUCUGUCUGCCUCUCCUCCUUGGCCUAGAAUCAAGAGUUUUAGCACAUUUAGGUCCAAAGACAGCAAAAUAUCCCUGUAUCUUUGCAACUUCUGUUACCAUUACCGGCAGAUAUUUUGUCUGGUUCUGCUCUUAUUGUGACUUAAAACUCAGAUGGAACCAACAGUUACCUGGCAGUCCAUGCAGCGAGCUGGGCUAAAUGUCUGGGCUGUGGUUUGUGGAGAAGAGAUCACCACCUGUGGGGAGAUGAAGCAAACAAAACAUUUUGCUGCCUUUUGAAAUCAACAGCAGUUAGGGAACGGAGCUGCUUCCCCCCCACACACUUCCUGUCUUUGGAGACUUUAUUAUCACGAAACACAGACAGCAAUGAUCACCUACUGCCCACCUGGCUCGGUGUUUCUGGAGAAGACACUGCCCACUUCAAUCAUCUCAGGUUUCCUGCUUGGAGAGGACAUCAAGAGCUGUGGAACCUGUCCAGUUUCCAAAAGAUGAAGGGACAUAAGAUGCACGAAGAUGAAGCAGGUUUCUCCUCCUUCAAACAAUCCUGCUGGCUACCAAUGUGCCAUAAAACUAUCCAAAGAAAUUGAGAACAGAAGAAAAAAGGCUUGCAAGUCAGGCUGAGCACCCAACUUCCUAGCAUUAGCUCUCAUUUUUUUUUUAGAAUCACACAGUCAUCUUGCUGCAGAGGUCUGGUCAGUACAUAACUGCAGUCUGAAGCCCUCAGACAAGAUCUCAAGGCAGAGACAAAUACUUAGAAACCACAGAUGCCUUGAAGAUUUCUUGAGCAAGCCAAAACACAGCAUGGAAGAUAAAGCCAAUCUCAUGCAGCAGUUUACUGUCAGCCUCAGAAUCAGAGCCCAAACCUUCUGAACACCAGACUAAUUCUUAUCCAUCAAACUUACCCUCUAUAUGGACUGUGCUGUAAAAUAACACAAUAAAACUUGCCUGCUUCCUACA